CAUUUACGGGCUGAAACGAGAAAGCCCAACGACAUCCAAGUGGAGCUAAGAAGCCCAACAGCAAACAACAAUGGUGCCUCCCAAUCCCUCGUUGCUAGCUAAGCUUGAAAGAAGUAAAAGUGGAGAACACGAAACGGAACAUGGUGGUGAGAGUGAGAGGGGUAGACCAACUUCCAGUUUCAUUUUCAGUUUCAGUUAACUCUUGCUCAAACCCUAACUUCCAUUCAAACUCACUCUUCUUCUUCUCCUCUUCUUCAAUGCGUUCUACGUUCACACUAUUUCGCAGUCUCACGCUCUCCACUCUCCACUCACCCCGAACACUCCCUUCACCGCUCCUCCCACGCCAGUUCCCGUGCCUCUGCGUUCGCGCCGAGCAGUUGGUUCUCCACGAAGAGCUUCCGGAAAACGACAUUUUCCGUUUCGACCGGUAUUUGGCGGUGGAAGCGGAGGCUGAUGAGAAGCGGCUGCCGCGUCCGGAAGUUGAGGUGAUGGAGUUGAAUGAGGUUCCGGAGCUUUGGCGGAGGUCGAGAGUGGCGUGGCUGUGCAAGGAACUGCCGGCACACAACGCGGGAACUCUGAUUAGGAUUCUGAAUGCGCAGAGGAAGUGGUUGAGGCAGGAUGACGCCACAUAUCUCAUUAUGCAUUGCUUACGUAUUCGAGAGAACGAAACUGCGUUUAGGGUAUACAAAUGGAUGAUGCAACGGAGUUGGUAUCGAUUUGAUUUUGCUCUUGCUACCAGGCUAGCAGAUUACAUGGGCAAAGAGCGGAAGUUUUCAAAGUGCCGUGAGGUAUUUGAUGAUAUUAUCAAUCAAGGCCGUGUUCCCAGUGAGUCAACGUUCCAUAUAUUGAUUGUGGCUUACCUUAGUUCUCCCGUUCAAGGUUGUUUGGAUGAAGCAUGUGGCAUUUUCCACCGAAUGAUUCAGUUGGGUGGAUAUCAACCUCGUCUUAGCUUGCAUAAUUCCCUCUUCAAAGCUCUUUUAAGCAAACCAGGGAUCUUUUCAAAGCAGUACCUUAAGCAAGCUGAGUUUAUAUAUCACCGUUUGGUUACAACUGGACUUGAUGUACAUAAAGAUAUUUAUGGUGGCCUAAUUUGGCUGCAUAGCUAUCAGGAUUCCAUAGACAAAGAAAGAAUAGGUGCAUUGAGGGAAGAGAUGCUACAUGCUGGAAUUGAUGAAAGCGAAGAAGUGCUGGUAUCAAUCUUGAGGGCUUGUGCAAGGGAGGGGGAGGUGGAGGAAGCAGAGAACGCAUGGUCCAAACUUUUGCAGUUCAAAAGCAGCCCCCCGUCACAUGCUUUUGUGUACAAAAUGGAAGUAUACUCUAAGGUUGGUAUGCCUAUGAAGUCCUUGGAGAUAUUUAGGGAAAUGCAGUUCAAACUAGGUAAGACAAGUGUUGCAGCAUAUAAUAAAAUAAUAGAGAUACUUUGCAAAGCACAAGAAUCCGAAUUUGCAGAAUCAAUCAUGACCGAUUUUGUCAAGAGUGGUCUGAAGCCAUUUACACCAUUAUAUGUUUAUAUGCUAAACAUGUACUUCAAUUUGGAAUCACAUGAUAAAUUGGAAGAGGCAUUCUCUCAAUGCAUGGAGAAAUGUCGUCCAAAUAGUGUCAUAUACAGUAUAUAUUUGGAUUCUUUGGUGAAAGUCGGUAAUCUUGACAAGGCUGAGGAUAUCUUUAGCCAAAUGUUUCGUGAAGCGACUAUUGGUGUCAAUGCCCGAUCAUGUAACACCAUCUUACGUGGAUACCUAUAUUCGGGAAAUCACUUAAAGGCGGAGAAGAUCUACGACUUAAUGUGCCAAAAGAAGUAUGAAAUUGAUGCCCCAUUAAUGGAAAAGCUGGACUAUAUCUUGAGCUUGAGAAGGAAAGAUAUUAAAAAACCAAUGAGCCUGAAGCUAAACAAAGAACAGAGAGAAAUACUAAUUGGGAUGCUUUUAGGUGGUUUGCAUAUUGAUUCUGAUGACCAAAGGAAGAACCACAUUAUCCGUUUUAAUUUUGAUGGCAAUUCUGCCAACCAUUAUACCUUGAAGAGUCAUAUAUAUCACCAGUUUGUUGAGUGGCUACAUCCUACUUUUAAGCCACGUGAUGACAGUGAGAACAUACCAGAUAAUUUUUGCACCAUUGCAAGCUCUUAUUUUGGCUUUUACGCCGAUCAGUUUUGGUCAAAAGGUCAACCUACAAUUCCAAAACUUGUUCAUAGGUGGUUGUCCCCAUGUGUUCUUGCAUACUGGUACAUGUAUGGAGGCCAUCAAAAUUCAUCGGGGGAUGUUUUGCUAAAGAUUAAGGGAAGUCGUGAGGGUGUUGAGAAUAUUGUCAAAAAGUUCAAAGCCAUGUCCAUGGAUUGUAAAGUCAAGAGAAAGGGAAAGGUAUUCUGGAUUGGUAUUCUGGGAAGCAAUACGACUUGGUUCUGGAAAUUGGUUGAGCCAUAUAUUCUAGAAGAUGUAAGAGAUUUCACUAAGGCACGUGAGAAUAUGAUGGGGCAGGAUUUAAUGGAAACUCUAGACAUUAACUUCAAUAGUGAAUCAGACGAAUGAAAAAGGGGAUACUGCAUUGAUGAAUGAUGAUCAUGUUUGCCUGACUAGGUUAUGCUUUUACCCUGGUGGUUAGAAGCUGAAAACAUCUGACCCUGUCUAAUAAUGGAAUAAGGCUUGAUUGUUGUAGUGGAAUUCAUAAUCUUCUUUGAGUUUUACAAGGGAUUAUUGGUGAUCUUUUUGUUUGUCUUGGGUUUUGGUUGGCUUUUGAUUUGUUUGAUGAUUAUCCCACAUAUAUGAUGAACAAGGUCCUUGGCUGUAGGAAUUGCUAUGAUUCUUGGAUAAGAGAAUUCUGAUGUUCUGUAUCUUUUAUUGGAUCUUAUGAAGAUCGUAGAUGUUUUUAUAUCUACUGGAAAGAUAGUCAGAAGUGUGGAAAUUCUCCUGCACAAUGGGUCUAGAGAUUAAUGUUCUAGGUCAGGUUCUGUAUCAGUAGCACUGCAUUGGGAAUACUGUAGAGAGCGAGACAUGCUUUUGUAGGGUUUUUUUUGAAAUAUUUUGCAAAUAUGCUGGGACUUAGUAUUCAUGAAGCUAAUUUGGUGGGCCAUGCCUAUGAUAGCCUAUCUUGUCUAUAAAUAGAACUAUGUGAGGGGGGGAAAUUGGUACAUGGAAGAAGAAAACAUGGUACAUUUGUUCUGGAGGUUCCAAGUUCCAACUACUUCUAAGAAAUUCACUGUAGUAUCUGCUUCGUCCAAUUCCAACGGGACUCUCCUUGUGGUUCUGAAGCAAUUUUGGUGGCGCUGGAGAUCCAGUCAUGCUGCAGCUUCCUCUAGAUAAGAAAACAUGUGAUAAGGUAGAGAGGAAAUGAUUCAAACAAAGUUCAAGAACUCGUGGAUAAUAUCAGUCAAAUUGGUCUUCAAUUGCUUGCAAGCACUUUCUCCUUUUUGCAACUAUAUAAAAUUAUGCUCCAUUGCGGGAAGAUGUUGAACA